GUGAUUUCCGUUAAGGAGAUCUUUUGGCACCUCUAAAAAUGGUGCAGAAUAAGGGGUGGGCAAGUCUGGUGUCAGCCGCCGCGGUAAUACCAGCACCCCGAGUGGUCGGGACGUUUAUUGGGCCUAAAGCAUCCGUAGCCGGUUCUACAAGUCUUCCGUUAAAUCCACCUGCUUAACAGAUGGGCUGCGGAAGAUACUAUAGAGCUAGGAGGCGGGAGAGGCAAGCGGUACUCGAAUGGGUAGGGGUAAAAUCCGUUGAUCCAUUGAAGACCACCNAGUGGCGAAGGCGGUUUGC
rnacentral:rRNA from 1 species